UGUGAUAGAGGUCGCGGCUGACAAGAGUACCUGCGGAGCGUAUGGGAAGGCUCCGAAGGGAAAGGGGAUGCCGCCGAAGGGCUGUUUUUCCGGUCUUCCGCCGGUGAGCAGUGCCUGGGACGCAGAGAAAUACCCUGCGGACUGUCGCGCUUCAUGCGCGGAGAGCUAUCGU
rnacentral:ncRNA from 1 species